AGGGUUGUAGUUAAAUAUAACAUUUGGUUUGCAACUAAAAAGUAUUGAAAUAUCAAUCAACCUUA
rnacentral:tRNA from 3 species